AGUGAACGCUGGCGGCGUGCUUAACACAUGCAAGUCGAACGAGAACGGAAUAUAGCUUGCUAUAUUUGUCAGCUAAGUGGCGCACGGGUGAGUAAUGUAUAGAUAACCUGCCCUUAAGAAAGGAAUAACAGUUGGAAACGACUGCUAAUGCCCUAUAUGCCUUUAAUACAUAAGUAUGCAAGGGAAACGCUUUAGUGCUUAAGGAUGGGUCUGUAUGGUAUCAGCUUGUUGGUGAGGUAAUGGCUCACUAAGGCUAUGACGCCUAACUGGUUUGAGAGGAUGAUCAGUCACACUGGAACUGCGACACGGUCCAGACUCCUACGGGAGGCAGCAGUGGGGAAUAUUGCACAAUGGACGAAAGUCUGAUGCAGCAAUGCCGCGUGGAGGAUGACACAUUUCGGUGCGUAAACUCCUUUUAUAUAGGAAGAUAAUGACGGUACUAUAUGAAUAAGCACCGGCUAACUCCGUGCCAGCCGCCGCGGUAA
rnacentral:rRNA from 1 species